rnacentral:lncRNA from 1 species
GCAAAAAAUAAUGUAAUUUGCAUCGACGUAAUUCAUGCCGAUGUAACAAAUAUUCGAUGUAACCGCUAAUUUCAAGUGCAAAAUGGCAUAUUUUUGAUGUUAUAUUACAUCGCUUAGAAAUUACACAAAAAUAUCAUUACCAUUUUUCAUCACAUUGACUUUGUGUAAUAUUCACAUCUAAACUAUAUGAAUAUUACACAGAAACAAAUGCAACCAAGUCAUUCCGAUAUGCCUUAGUAAUAUUACACAAAUUCAAUGCUAUUUCGCAUGCGUUACGAAUGCAAUAAUAAGUCCCGCAACACUGCCCAGACUUUGUUUCGGUCGGUGUCUGACGAAGUGUCAUGGCGUCAGAUUCCGUGCGCGUUUGCAUCAGAUUUUAUUUUUGUCGAGUUUGCAUGCAGAUAUUUCCUGCUAUUAGAAUAAAUUUAAUCAAUGGUAAGUAAACACCUGUUUAAAUAUGAUUUUAACAAACCAAUAAUAAUUAUUAAUGGCCAUUCAACAUUGUUCGUUCCAGGUCAAAAAUUCUUCCGGAAUUUCUCGGAAGGUUUCCUUUAGGAGUUCUUCCAGGAGUUUCUAGAAGUACAUCCAGGAGUUCCUCCAGAAAUUGCUGCCAAAGUUCCUCCGGAUGGCAGUAAAGGCCUCGUUAGAACGGUGCGUAAUUUCGAGUCCCAAGAAGAGGUGGUCGUCGUUUACAACAAAGGCACUGCUAGCAACUAUUGGUGCGCGGACGCAUCUGAUCUUCGAAUCCAGAUAGUGCCCCGACCGAAAUUAAACACGAGAGAACCAUGUACGACAGAUGCCGAUAAUUGUCAUAUCCUGGAAGUGUGCCGAGUGUAACAAUUACGAUCUGUGCUCGAUCUGCUAUCACGGAGAUAUGCAUCAUUUGAGGAAUCGGUUGCAUCGAAUUUUGAGACCAGGUGGCGAAAAAACGCUGUUGGAACCGCAACGCAAAUUAAAAAAGAUUGCAGUGCGGGGGAUUUUUCCUGGGGCACGUGUUGUCCGAGGAGUCGAUUGGCAGUAGGAAAAUCAGGACGGUGGUAAUGGCCGACGCGAAAAGGUCAAUGUAAUUCAGGACUGGCCUUCGGCUUCGACAAAAUCAGAGCUGCACUGCAACAAUUUGCUGUGGGUGAUUUUGUCGAGAUUUGCAGUGAUUUGGAGAGUAUCAAGUGCAUUUUCAUCGGAUGGAUCAACGGCUGUUACUACAAAUGGAGAACGAUUGUCGGCACUUUUGGAAAAGUUAUUUGAACCACACGCGUCUGAUGAUACGACUGAAGAAUUGGUGAAGGCAGCCAAUAGUGAUGUUGCUAAGGAUUGAACCCAACUAUUCAGAAAAACCAGCUAGCAGAAGUUCGGGAGGAAUCCAAAUCCGUAGAGACGCCUAUUACGUAUAAGGAAAAAGGAAUAAAAAAAUAAUAAUAAUCAGGUUCAACAGACUUGUACGAACUGCUCAAAAUGGUUCACAGUCUACUCUGGAAGUCAACACACAAGAUCGAGCGUCUUCUAGAAUUCAUCUCUCUGGGUGCCAUUACGAAGGACUACAUAUAAUUAAAAAAUAAAAUAAAUAUAAAAAAGGAUUUAUAAUAAAAUAAAAUAAAAUUUA